GCGGUGAUAGCUCAGUCGGGUGAGCGCCCGCUUCUCACGCAAAAGAUGCGGGUUCCAAUCCCGGCGCUGACAUGUA
rnacentral:tRNA from 1 species